UGGCUUGGUUUCCUGGGGGGUGGACUCAGCCUACUCCACCUCCCCUCAGCCGAGCCUAGAGUAGAGGGGCCAGGCAUCCUCUCCGGGGGAGCGGCGUUUACGUAAGGAGCCUCGCCUGAGCUGUCCUAGCCUCACAUUU
ensembl:scaRNA